rnacentral:lncRNA from 1 species
AAAAGCCAUAAGCUAGCUGUCCAAACGAAAAUUACAAAUAAAAGUAAAGGUGGAGUGAGGAAAUCAAUCUUCUUCAUAGCCUGAUGCAGCAACAUCUCAAGGUUCAUGCUCUGCCAAGAAAAAGAAGCCAAGGGUUAGAAAAAUGCAAACAGUUAGGUAAAGCGCGCAGUCAUAUGAAGGUGAGGAGUUAAGCUAAGAACACCACAUCUCAGAAGAACUGCUAGAGGUGUCAACAAGCAACUGAUUUGCUGCAAGCUGAAGGCACACUGUUAUUUCCUUGGAGCUUCCACGAACCAACUUCUUUAAUUUGAGCUUCUCAACCUCUAGUUCCUUAAGUUGCAGUUCGAGAGCACGCAUCAAUUUGUUGACUUUAAUGAAUUGAUCCAAGAC